GAUGAACGCUAGCGGCAGGCCUAACACAUGCAAGUCGAACGAUGAAGCCCAGCUUGCUGGGUGGAAGAGUGGCGAACGGGUGAGUAACACGUGAGUAACCUGCCCAUGACUCUGGGAUAAGCGCUGGAAACGGCGUCUAAUACUGGAUAUGCACAGCGGCCGCAUGGUCAGUUGUGGGAAAGAUUUAUCGGUCAUGGAUGGACUCGCGGCCUAUCAGCUUGUUGGUGAGGUAAUGGCUCACCAAGGCGACGACGGGUAGCCGGCCUGAGAGGGUGACCGGCCACACUGGGACUGAGACACGGCCCAGACUCCUACGGGAGGCAGCAGUGGGGAAUAUUGCACAAUGGGCGCAAGCCUGAUGCAGCAACGCCGCGUGAGGGAUGACGGCCUUCGGUGUUAACGUCUUUAGUUAGGUAGAAGCGUAAGUGACGGUACCGUGCAGAAAAGACACCGGCGUAACUACGUGCCAGCAGCCGCGGUAAC
rnacentral:rRNA from 1 species